GGAGUAGCUCAGGGGUAGAGCAGCUGAUUUGUAAUCAGCCGGUCGGGGGUUCAAAUCCCUUCUCC
rnacentral:tRNA from 1 species